rnacentral:tRNA from 1 species
UCCCUGGUGGCUCAGACGGUAAAGCAUCUGCCUACAAUGCAGGAGACCUGGGUUUGAUCCCUGGGUUGGGAA